UAUCUACAGGCUUAACACAUGCAAGUCGAGGGGCAGCAUGGUCUUAGCUUGCUAAGACUGAUGGCGACCGGCGCACGGGUGAGUAACACGUAUCCAACCUGCCGUCUACUCUUGGACAGCCUUCUGAAAGGAAGAUUAAUACAAGAUGGCAUCAUGAGUCCGCAUGUUCACAUGAUUAAAGGUAUUCCGGUAGACGAUGGGGAUGCGUUCCAUUAGAUAGUAGGCGGGGUAACGGCCCACCUAGUCUUCGAUGGAUAGGGGUUCUGAGAGGAAGGUCCCCCACAUUGGAACUGAGACACGGUCCAAACUCCUACGGGAGGCAGCAGUGAGGAAUAUUGGUCAAUGGGCGAGAGCCUGAACCAGCCAAGUAGCGUGAAGGAUGACUGCCCUAUGGGUUGUAAACUUCUUUUAUAAAGGAAUAAAGUCGGGUAUGCAUACCCGUUUGCAUAUACUUUAUGAAUAAGGAUCGGCUAACUCCGUGCCAGCAGCCGCGGUAAUACGGAGGAUCCGAGCGUUAUCCGGAUUUAUUGAGUUUAAAGGGAGCGUAGAUGGAUGUUUAAGUCAGUUGUGAAAGUUUGCGGCUCAACCGUAAAAUUGCAGUUGAUACUGGAUAUCUUGAGUGCAGUUGAGGCAGGCGGAAUUCGUGGUGUAGCGGUGAAAUGCUUAGAUAUCACGAAGAACUCCGAUUGCGAAGGCAGCCUGCUAAGCUGCAACUGACAUUGAGGCUCGAAAGUGUGGGUAUCAAACAGGAUUAGAUACCCUGGUAGUCCACACGGUAAACGAUGAAUACUCGCUGUUUGCGAUAUACAGCAAGCGGCCAAGCGAAAGCGUUAAGUAUUCCACCUGGGGAGUACGCCGGCAACGGUGAAACUCAAAGGAAUUGACGGGGGCCCGCACAAGCGGAGGAACAUGUGGUUUAAUUCGAUGAUACGCGAGGAACCUUACCCGGGCUUAAAUUGCAGAUGAAUUACGGUGAAAGCCGUAAGCCGCAAGGCAUCUGUGAAGGUGCUGCAUGGUUGUCGUCAGCUCGUGCCGUGAGGUGUCGGCUUAAGUGCCAUAACGAGCGCAACCCUUGUUGUCAGUUACUAACAGGUUCCGCUGAGGACUCUGACAAGACUGCCAUCGUAAGAUGUGAGGAAGGUGGGGAUGACGUCAAAUCAGCACGGCCCUUACGUCCGGGGCUACACACGUGUUACAAUGGGGGGUACAGAGGGCCGCUACCACGCGAGUGGAUGCCAAUCCCCAAAACCUCUCUCAGUUCGGACUGGAGUCUGCAACCCGACUCCACGAAGCUGGAUUCGCUAGUAAUCGCGCAUCAGCCACGGCGCGGUGAAUACGUUCCCGGGCCUUGUACACACCGCCCGUCAAGCCAUGGGAGCCGGGGGUACCUGAAGUGCGUAACCGCGAGGAGCGCCCUAGGGUAAAACUGGUGACUGGGGCUA
rnacentral:rRNA from 1 species